GUUUGGCGGGCGGCGCGCGAGCACCUGAGCUGCUGCUGCAGGGGUUUCCAUAGCGAGCGCACUAGCUCACUCACUUCAGCGGGAACACCGCGGACUUCCUGAUGCGGGACAAUGCGUGCAUUCCGCUCGCAUUUACGCCACAGAAUCGGCUGAAGGGAUGUAGGCGGAGCGCGGACGCGAGCUACAAAGGUCAUGAGUGCCUUGAGGAGAACAGCUGUUGAGAAGAACCUCACCUGGACCACACACUCCUACCAACUCCCAGCAUCCCAGUAUGACGUCUGAUUUAGAGCAGGAUGCUACAGUGAAGUUGGAACAGGAGCGAGCUGAGAUACUUGCCAAAUAUGACAAGGUGA